UUCCAAGCUCCAGGUGAGCACCCCGUCUUGUGCGAAGGGGUCGAGCCGCGCUGUCUGCCGGCUGGGGAGCUCGAGCGGUGUCUUAUAAUAACCCUCCGUGGCCUCUGAGUAGCUUGAGCGCGCGCCGGCGGCAGCGAAGAGCAGAGAAAGAAGCCUCAAGCGGGCGCCUCACGGGCUCCUUUUGUUCCUCUCUUCUUCUGACAGUUGUCAUUUCAAUUAUUCAGGCUGCUUCCUGGCGCAGCAGGAAACGCUUGCAGAAACCGUCUCGGGAAGGCGAGCCUCCCUGCACUUCUGCUCUCGGGCGGGCCCGUUGGGGAGCGCGAGCCCCCCGCGAGCUACAGGGGCUCCGCAGGCCAGAUAGAGUGGCAUCUGGCCUGUGGGCUGCAUUUUGCACACCCCUGGGCUCGGAGGUGCAGGAUAGCGCAGACAAAACCUGCAGCGGAGGAAGAAGUCUCGAUAACGUCGAAUGGCUUUGGCCCAUCGAUCGAGGGACACUGUGA
rnacentral:lncRNA from 1 species